UUUAAACUGGUAUCAGGGACCUAUACAUUAGGUUUCACUGUUUUGUUAUGGUUUACAGCAGUUUCAGGCAGUUUGCGGUCAAGUCCACCAGGUGUGUGUGUCGCUCUUUCUGAUCUGGCUGUUGAAAAAGUAGCGUCGUGAACGUUAGCUGCGUUUAUGAGAGUGGAACUAUUAUUCGAGGUGGACUUUCCAUGGUGGUUUCUGACAGUCACUUUUUCACAUUAGGCAGGCGGAGAGCAGAGUGGGUCUGUGGGGAAGACUUUACCCGGCCGCACCCAGUGACCAGCAGCUUGUUAUCACUUCUGAAACCUGCAACAUGAGUCUCCUGGUCAGACUGAGCCUGGACAGUUUUCUUACCUUCAGAGAAGCAGCAGAGAGGCAGCGAGCAACAGCAACAGCAGCAGCAGCAGCAGCAGCAGCUACGUUAUGAACGCGGACUGAAAAGGGUGUGGUAUUUAAAUACCAACUGACUCACACACACACACACACUCUGCCUGGGUGACUAAGUGGACAAGACAUAUAAAUUUCUCACUGACGUUUGGACUUCCUCACCUUCUGCCAGGCU